rnacentral:rRNA from 1 species
GAGUUUGAUCCUGGCUCAGAUUGAACGCUGGCGGCAUGCCUUACACAUGCAAGUCGAACGGCAGCACGGGAGCUUGCUCCUGGUGGGCGAGUGGCGAACGGGUGAGUAAUGCAUCGGAACGUAUCCUGGGGUGGGGGAUAACGUAGCGAAAGUUACGCUAAUACCGCAUAUUCUGUGAGCAGGAAAGCGGGGGACCUUCGGGCCUCGCGCUCUUGGAGCGGCCGAUGUCGGAUUAGCUAGUUGGUGAGGUAAAGGCUCACCAAGGCGACGAUCCGUAGCAGGUCUGAGAGGAUGAUCUGCCACACUGGAACUGAGACACGGUCCAGACUCCUACGGGAGGCAGCAGUGGGGAAUUUUGGACAAUGGGGGCAACCCUGAUCCAGCCAUGCCGCGUGAGUGAAGAAGGCC